AGCAGCCGCGGUAAUUCCAGCUCCAAUAGCGUAUAUUAAAGUUGUUGCAGUUAAAAAGCUCGUAGUUGAAUUUCGGGAUUUUACCGUUGGUCGGGCUAUUGUCUGUACUGGCGUGUAGAAUUUCUACCUUCUGGGGAACUAUCAUGUUAUUAAUUUAGCGUGGUAGGAAACCAGAACCUUUACCUUGAAAAAUUAGAGUGUUCAAAGCAGGCUUAUGUCUGAAUACAUUAGCAUGGAAUAAUAAAAUAGGACGGUGGUCCUGUUUUGUUGGUUUCUGAAUCACCGUAAUGAUUAAUAGGGAUAGUUGGGGGCAUUAGUAUUCAAUUGUCAGAGGUGAAAUUCUUGGAUUUAUUGAAGACUAACUACUGCGAAAGCAUUUGCCAAGGAUGUUUUCAUUAAUCAAGAACGAAAGUUAGGGGAUCGGAGACGAUCAGAUACCGUCGUAGUCUUAACCAUAAACUAUGCCGACUAGGGAUCGGACGAUGUUAACUUUCUUGACUCGUUCGGCGCCUUACGGGAA
rnacentral:misc_RNA from 1 species